rnacentral:rRNA from 1 species
AUGGAGUGACACAAGAAGGAAAGUUCGCAUGCGAUUGGAAGAGCAUGUCUAAGCAGGUAGGUUGAAUACCAGGCAAAUCCGGUAUUCUAAAAGCCGAGAAGUGAUAGGGAGCCUGUAGAAAUACAGGUGAAGGAACCGGGACUCGAUUGUCAAGAAAAGCUUCUAGUGAGGACGACGCCGCCCGUACCAAAACCGACACAGGUAGGCAAGAAGAGAAUUCUAAGGUGCGCGGGAAAACCCUCGUUAAGGAACUCGGCAAAAUGUAUCCGUAACUUCGGGAAAAGGAUAACCCAGAGUACGUGAAGGAAAGAAACAUCCGGAGCGGGAAUGGGUGGCACAAGAGAGGCCCAAGCGACUGUUUACCACAAACACAGGCGUCUGCUAAAGAGAAAUCUGAUGUAUAGAUGCUGACACCUGCCCGGUGCUGGAAGGUUAAGAGGACGUGUUAGCCGCAAGGCGAAGCAGAGAAUUGAAGCCCCAGUAAACGGCGGCCGUAACUAUAACGGUCCUAAGGUAGCGAAAUUCCUUGUCGGGUAAGUUCCGACCCGCACGAAAGGUGUAACGAUUUGGGCACUGUCUCAACGAGGGACCCGGUGAAAUUGAAGUACCUGUGAAGAUGCAGGUUACCCGCGACUGGACAGAAAGACCCCAUGGAGCUUUACUGUAACCUGAGAUUGAAUUUUGGUAGAAGAUGUACAGGAUAGUUGGGAGACGUAGAAGCGCGCACGCCAGUGUACGCAGAGUCGAUGGUGGGAUACCAACCUUGUUUUAUUGAAAUUCUAACGAGAGCCGUAACGAGGCUGCGGACAGUCUCAGGCGGGCAGUUUGACUGGGGCGGUCGCCUCCGAAAGAGCAACGGAGGCGCCCAAAGGUUCCCUCAGCGCGGACGGAAACCGCGCGAAGAGUGUAAAGGCAGAAGGGAGCUUGACUGCGAGACGGACAGGUCGAGCAGGGACGAAAGUCGGGCUUAGUGAUCCGGUGGUAGAGAGUGGAAUUGCCAUCGCUCAACGGAUAAAAGCUACCCUGGGGAUAACAGGCUUAUCUCUCCCAAGAGUCCAUAUCGACGGGGAGGUUUGGCACCUCGAUGUCGGCUCAUCACAUCCUGGGGCUGGAGUAGGUCCCAAGGGUUGGGCUGUUCGCCCAUUAAAGUGGUACGCGAGCUGGGUUCAGAACGUCGUGAGACAGUUCGGUCCCUAUCCAUCGCGGGCGCAAGAAACUUGAAAGGGGCUGCUCCUAGUACGAGAGGACCGGAGUGGACGAACCAAUGGUGUAUCGGUUAUGCCGCCAGGCGUACAGCCGAGUAGCUACGUUCGGGACGGAUAAACGCUGAAAGCAUCUAAGCGUGAAACCAGCCUAAAGAUGAGGUUUCUCAUUGCAUAAGCAAGUAAGGCCCCAUGAAGACGACAUGGUUGAUAGGCCGGGAGUGGAAGUGCAGCAAUGCAUGGAGCGGACCGGUACUAAUAGGCCGAGGACUUAUCUUA